GUGGGGACUCUCCAUUAAGUAGCCAUCUUUUAAUGUUUCCAUUAAUUCAUGUGAUUUUUUUUUUUAAGUAGUGAAAUCAAAAGAAAAUAGAUACCCAUUAGAAACUGCACAAAGACAUGGCUACCUCAGGUCUGCUUAUUUAGGUGGACUGAAAACUGGGAAUGGAGAGGGCAGGUAUGACGAGGUAGAAGAAGAGAAACUGCUAGGCCAAGAAGGUUUUCACCACAAAAAUGACUGCUGAGUUCAUCCAAGCACCUGCUGAGUUAAAGUCAGUCACUUGUUCAAAUACCAAAGCUUUCUUCAGUUUGCAUCAGACACUCAUUUAAUCUCCGUUCCAAAGGCAACAAGAAAUCUCCAGUCUGGCUGCACUGGAGAGAGUAUGGUCAGCAGGUCGAGGUGAUCCUCCCUCUCUACUUGGCCCUAGUGAAGCCACAUCUGAAGGGCUGUGUCCAGUUCUGGGCUCCUAAGCACAAGAAAGAGAAGGAACUACUGGAGAGGGUCCAGUGGUGGCCACAAAGAUGAUUUGAGGUCUAGAGCAUCUCUUUUAGGAGGAGAGACUGAAGGACCUGGGUCUGUAUAAAGAAGACUGAGAAGGGAUCUCAUCAAUGCAUAUACAUAUCUCAAAAGCAGAUGGUAGAAGGAGGAUGGUGACAGAUUCUUUUCAAUGAUUCCCCUUGACAAGGAGCAGUGGCCAUAAACUAAAGGAUAAGAUAUUCCAUCUCAGUGUGAGAAAGGACUUUGCUACAUUGAGGGGAAGAGCUCUGGAACAGGCUGCCCAGGGAAGUUGUGGAAUCUCCCUCUCUGGAGACAUUCCAAAUCCACGUGGACACGUUCUUGUGUAACCUGCUCUGCCUUGGCAGGGGAAUUGGACUGGAUAAUCUUCAGAGGUCCCUUCUAACAUUAAUCAUUCUGUGAUUCUCUGAAAAUGCUUCAGCAGAACAUUUUUUUGAAAGAUUUUCUGUUCAUGCAGUCCUCAAUCCUUCAAUCCUCAUUACACAAAGAAUCUAGACCUUAGAAUUUUUUGGGCAUUCCUUUUAUUUUUUUUCCAUAAUAAAUCAUAGACACAUAAAUAUACUGAAAUACUUCUAUGAUUAUAAUUUGAGCCUAGACAUAGGAUUUUGCUUGCAGUUUUGUUCAAAUAUAAUUUUUUCUAACUUCUUUCUUUUUGUGUUGCCAUUGAGGGAAAAAGAUAAGGUUGUCUUAAACCUGUUUGAUAAGGUUGUUUUAAACUUGUUUGGGCUACCGUCUGAGUUGAUUUCC